ensembl:misc_RNA 7SK 7SK RNA
GGAUGUGAAGGCCAUCUGGCUGUGGCAUCUCUCACACCACUGGUCUCCAGGGUUGAUUCACUUGGCCUGGUUGGCCGUGUGGGUGUCCCCCUCUUCCCUCACUGUUCUGUGUGCCAUGUGCAUCCCCCCAAAGUUGCACACUUGGGCAGAGUGGACCACCUUCCUUGAUAGAGGAGGGCCGGGAUUCAGUCAGGGGUAUAUGAGUAGUUGUGCUCCGUUGCUAGUACCUUCAAACAAGCUCUCAAAGUACAAGAGACCAAAGCCCUCACCACCAGAGAAUCGUAAAAUAGUAGGUUGAAUCCAAGGAUAAAAACUAGAGAUU